CAGGAAUUUGGAAUUCCAAUAGAAGACAUUUGCAAUAGGCAAAAUACUAAGAACAUGACACAAUUAUUACAAACGUUGGACCCUAACUUCUACCAAGGCUAUGAUUUGAUGUCUUCAACUUCAAUAGCACACCAACAUGCAUCAAUAAGUUUUGUCCAAGCACAAGAACUUGACAAUAAUGAUGAUAUUGAUCAACAAGUUGCUACAGAUGAAAUUGAAAAUGGGAAAUUUGAAUAAAGAUGCUUCCGAAGAAAUGGAGGACGAGACUAUGGGAUUGCGUUCAUGGAUU